CGGGACGGGGUGAGUAAUGUCUGGGAAACUGCCUGAUGGAGGGGGAUAACUACUGGAAACGGUAGCUAAUACCGCAUAACGUCGCAAGACCAAAGAGGGGGACCUUCGGGCCUCUUGCCAUCGGAUGUGCCCAGAUGGGAUUAGCUAGUAGGUGGGGUAACGGCUCACCUAGGCGACGAUCCCUAGCUGGUCUGAGAGGAUGACCAGCCACACUGGAACUGAGACACGGUCCAG
rnacentral:rRNA from 1 species